rnacentral:rRNA from 1 species
AGAGUUUGAUCCUGGCUCAGGAUGAACGCUGGCGGCGUGCUUAACACAUGCAAGUCGAACGAAGAUGCCGGAGUGCUUGCACUUUGGCAGACUGAGUGGCGGACGGGUGAGUAACGCGUGGGUAACCUGCCUUAUACAGGGGGAUAACAGUUGGAAACGACUGCUAAUACCGCAUAAGCGCACGGUAUCGCAUGAUACAGUGUGAAAAACUCCGGUGGUAUAAGAUGGACCCGCGUCUGAUUAGCUUGUUGGUGAGGUAACGGCUCACCAAGGCGACGAUCAGUAGCCGGCCUGAGAGGGUGAACGGCCACAUUGGGACUGAGACACGGCCCAAACUCCUACGGGAGGCAGCAGUGGGGAAUAUUGCACAAUGGGGGAAACCCUGAUGCAGCGACGCCGCGUGAGUGAUGAAGUAUUUCGGUAUGUAAAACUCUAUCAGCAGGGAAGAUAAUGACGGUACCUGACUAAGAAGCACCGGCUAAAUACGUGCCAGCAGCCGCGGU